AAUAGAAUACCCAGGUAGUCCACGCCGUAAACGUUGGGCGCUAGAUGUGGGGACCUUUUCCACGGUUUUCCGUGUCGUAGCUAACGCAUUAAGCGCCCCGCCUGGGGAGUACGGCCGCAAGGCUAAAACUCAAAGGAAUUGUACGGGGGCCCGUCACAAGCGGCGGAGCAUGCGGAUUAAUUCGAUGCAACCGCGAAGAACCUUACCAAGGCUUGACAUACACGAGAACGGGCCAGAAAUGGUCAACUCCUUGGACACUCGUGAACAGGUGGUGCAUGGUUGUCGUCAGCUCGUGUCGUGAGAUGUUGGGUUAAGUCCCGCAACGAGCGCAACCCGUCGUCGCAUGUUGCCAGCACGUUAUGGUGGGGACUCAUGUGAGACUGCCGGGGUCAACUCGGAGGAAGGUGGGGAUGACGUCAAAUCAUCAUGCCCCUUAUGUCUUGGGCUUCACGCAUGCUACAAUGGCCGGUACAAAGGGCUGCGAUGUCGUAAGGCGGAGCGAAUCCCAAAAGCCGGUCUCGAGUUCGGAUUGAGGU
rnacentral:rRNA from 1 species